GACGAACGCUGGCGGCGUGCUUAACACAUGCAAGUCGAACGGAAAGGCCCUGCUUUUGUGGGGUGCUCGAGUGGCGAACGGGUGAGUAACACGUGAGUAACCUGCCCUUGACUUUGGGAUAACUUCAGGAAACUGGGGCUAAUACCGGAUAGGAGCUCCUGCUGCAUGGUGGGGGUUGGAAAGUUUCGGCGGUUGGGGAUGGACUCGCGGCUUAUCAGCUUGUUGGUGGGGUAGUGGCUUACCAAGGCUUUGACGGGUAGCCGGCCUGAGAGGGUGACCGGCCACAUUGGGACUGAGAUACGGCCCAGACUCCUACGGGAGGCAGCAGUGGGGAAUAUUGCACAAUGGGCGGAAGCCUGAUGCAGCAACGCCGCGUGCGGGAUGCCGGCCUUCGGGUUGUAAACCGCUUUCGACUGUGACGAAGCGUGAGUGACGGUAAUGGGUAAAGAAGCACCGGCUAACUACGUG
rnacentral:rRNA from 1 species